rnacentral:rRNA from 1 species
CAGUAGCCACGGGAACACGAAGGGUGCAAGCGUUACUCGGAAUUACUGGGCGUAAAGCGUGCGUAGGUGGUGGUUUAAGUCCGUUGUGAAAGCCCUGGGCUCAACCUGGGAAUUGCAGUGGAUACUGGGUCACUAGAGUGUGGUAGAGGAUAGUGGAAUUUCCGGUGUAGCAGUGAAAUGCGUAGAGAUCGGAAGGAACAUCUGUGGCGAAGGCGACUAUCUGGGCCAACACUGACACUGAGGCACGAAAGCGUGGGGAGCAAACAGGAUUAGAUACCCCAGUAGUCCCUGUCUCUUAUAA